rnacentral:rRNA from 1 species
UACGUAGGGGGCAAGCGUUGUCCGGAAUCAUUGGGCGUAAAGAGCGUGUAGGCGGCCUGAUAAGUCGGUUGUGAAAGUCAAGGGCUCAACCCUUGAAUGCCGGCCGAUACUGUCAGGCUAGAGUCCGGAAGAGGCGAGUGGAAUUCCUGGUGUAGCGGUGAAAUGCGCAGAUAUCAGGAGGAACACCAAUGGCGAAGGCAGCUCGCUGGGACGGUACUGACGCUGAGACGCGAAAGCGUGGGGAGCAAACAGG